rnacentral:tRNA from 3 species
GCCGAAGUGGCGGAACGGUAGACGCGCUACGUUCAGGACGUAGUAUCCGCAAGGGUGUGUGGGUUCGAAUCCCUCCUUCGGCACCA